CGUUACAAAUAAAUAUAGUUUUAUUGUCUCCGUCAAAAAAAUUCUCAGAAAAAUUAAUGACUUAAACAAAUAUAAUGAAAGCAUACCAAGAAUACAUUUAAAAUAAUUAAACUUGAAAAUUAGAGAGACGGAGAAAACAAGUUUAGUAAUCCUUGGUAAGGCAUGAAAUUAUUUUUAAACUUUCAAAUGGAAAAAGUAUUAAAAGGAACCAUCGCAAACCAAUAGAUAGAAGGCUCAGAUUCAUCAUUUGUCAAUCACAAGAAGAAGAUACCAUACAUCUUCCAACCUCUUGCUCAAAUCCCAUCGUAAGAGGUAGACAUAGCUGCAGUGGUUGCCAUGCUGACCAUCCAAAUUGCCCCGCCAUCAUCCUCUCAGGAUUGGAAAACAGAGCAUUGAAGAGAGAAGGCAGAGUAUUUGGGCUUCAUACUUAUGUAUAAGUAUCCGUGACUUGCCAUCACCAUGGAGAUAUAAUCUAAAUCAUGGUUCGCAAUACCGUACCGGACCGGUAUUUCGAACUGGGCUCGGUACCGGUACGGUACGGUAUACCGAGAGGUACACCUAGGUGUGCCGAGUACUGCUACAGUGCACUCGGACCGGUAAGAGGCGGUCCGCGUACCGACAACCUGUCGGACCGGUACGUACCGCCCGUACCGGGCGGUACAGCUCGGUACGGCAGACCCUGAUCUGAAUCAAUAUCCAACGUAGUGAUUGCUCAAAUCCAUCUUUGAUACUUAUUUAUCAUCAUGGCCUCUUUAUAAUCCAAAAGCAAGACUUUGAAGAGUGAAGAUGAAAUUAAUGCAGCAAAAUGAAAAAUUAAAACAAAAAACAUCAAAACUUUUAAAGGCGGAAAACGAAAGGGAGGAAAUAAAGAAGUAAUGCUCUUGAACAUACUAUUUCCCUCUUGAAAGUAUUAGUUCUUUCCCCACCCCAAAAUUGACGUCAAAUCCCCAAAAUGUUUCAAACUAGAGAUAAUCAGUUAGCUAAGGUUAAAUAUCAGACUCUAAUAGCUUAGCAUUAUGCUUGUGAUGCGAAAAAAGUUGAAAGCAACUUUCCAUGACAGCUAUCCACAAUUUCAACAAAAUUAACAAUCGAAAAUAAGACUUGAAAAAACCAGAGAACAAUAUAUUGUCUAGAGCUUGCAUCAUCAAAUAUCAUACAAUCCCCCUGUUGAACUAUAAAAAGAAAGUGGUCAAACUAUCAGCAACACAAUUCCAAGCUCUGCAAGUUCUAUAAAGCAUAAUUGAUAAUGGGCAUAUCAUCCCAACCAUCGACAACAUACAUAUAUGAAUGAUAGCAAAAUAGCAAACCAUAAGAAACAAAUUAUUUGAGAAAUCAACUGGCCCAACAACUAGAUAAAGUAUGUCUCGUUGCAUCUAGCAAUAAUGAUAUACCCAAACCUGAAAAUGCUUCAUAUUAAUAAAUCCAUGACAAAAGUCAGCAGAUAACUUUAUCCCAUGCAAAAGUCAUUCAAAUAAGAAAUCACAAAUCCAUCUAGAUUUUGCUACCUCUCAAGUUCCCACCAAAGAAUUGUAGUCAUCCAGAAUUUAAUCACAGAUUUCAAAUAAAUACAAAAUGGAGCCUUUAGACUUUUUUUUACCGGACCAACUAUCUCAUUGCAAUAUUUUUUUCCUCAAAAUGAUUUUUAACAGCAUGAUAUUAAUCCUUUAAAGUACAUAAAAUGUUAAAAUAAAGAAAUCUUGAAGAUAACAUGUAAACAUUACAUCAGAAGCUUCAAGUGUUCCAAAUCUCAAAAUAAAUAAAGCUUGAUAAAAAUAUGAAAACUUUCCAAACAGGCAAACAUUUAAAAAUGUGAAAUAAAUACUUAAAAUGUAAUCAAAUUAACAUAACAUUUAUGUUACAAAUAAAUAUAGUUUUAUUGUCUCCAUCAAAAAAAUUCUCAGAAAAAUUAAUGACUUAAACAAAUAUAAUGAAAGCAUACCAAGAAUACAUUUAAAAUAAUUAAUCUUGAAAAUUAGAGAGACCAAGAGAAAACAAGUUUAGUAAUUCUUGGUUAGGCAUGAAAUUAUUUUUAAACAAUCAAAAGGAAAAAGUAUUAAAAAGAACCAUCGCAAACCAAUAGAUAGAAGGCUCAGAUUCAUCAUUUGUCAAUCACAAGAAGAAGAGACCGUACAUCUUCCAACCUCUUACUCAAAUCCCAUCGUAAGAGGAAGACAUAGCUGCAUUGGUUGCCAUGCUGGCCAUCCAAACUGCCCCGCCAUCAUCCUCUCAGGAUUGCAAAACAGAGCAUUGAAGAGAGAAGGCAGAGUAUUUGGGCUUCAUACUUAUGCAUAAGUAUCUACGACUUGCCAUCACCAUGAAGAUAUAAUCUGAAUUAAUAUCCAACUUGGUGAUUGCUCAUAUCCAUCUUUGACACUAAUUUAUCAUCA
rnacentral:lncRNA from 1 species